rnacentral:rRNA from 1 species
GACGAACGCUGGCGGCGUGCUUAACACAUGCAAGUCGAACGGAAAGGCCCUGCUUGCAGGGUACUCGAGUGGCGAACGGGUGAGUAACACGUGGGUGAUCUGCCCUGCACUUCGGGAUAAGCCUGGGAAACUGGGUCUAAUACCGGAUAGGAGCCAUUUUUAGUGUGAUGGUUGGAAAGUUUUUUGGGUGUAGGGUGAGCUCGCGGCCUAUCAGCUUGUUGGUGGGGUAAUGGCCUACCAAGGCGGCGACGGGUAGCCGGCCUGAGAGGGUGGACGGCCACAUUGGGACUGAGAUACGGCCCAGACUCCUACGGGAGGCAGCAGUGGGGAAUAUUGCACAAUGGGGGCGAGCCUGAUGCAGCGACGCCGCGGGGGGGAUGACGGCCUUCGGGUUGUAAACUCCUUUCGCUAGGGACGAAGCUUUUUGUGACGGUACCUAGAUAAGAAGCACCGGCUAACUACGUG